CCUACGGGAGGCAGCAGUGGGGAAUAUUGGACAAUGGGCGAAAGCCUGAUCCAGCCAUGCCGCGUGUGUGAAGAAGGCCUUCGGGUUGUAAAGCACUUUCAGUGGGGAAGAAAGCCUUGGGGCUAAUACCCUCGAGGAAGGACAUCACCCACAGAAGAAGCACCGGCUAACUCCGUGCCAGAGCCGCGGUAAUACGGAGGGGGCGAGCGUUAAUCGGAAUUACUGGGCGUAAAGCGCGCGUAGGCGGUCUGAUAAGCCGGUUGCGAAAGCCCCGGGCUCAACCUGGGAACGGCAUCCGGAACUGUCAGGCUAGAGUGCAGGAGAGGAAGGUAGAAUUCCCGGUGUAGCGGUGAAAUGCGUAGAGAUCGGGAGGAAUACCAGUGGCGAAGGCGGCCUUCUGGACUGACACUGACGCUGAGGUGCGAAAGCGUGGGUAGCAAACAGGAUUAGAUACCCGUGUAGUC
rnacentral:rRNA from 1 species